rnacentral:rRNA from 1 species
AACGAACGCUGGCGGCAGGCCUAACACAUGCAAGUCGAGCGAGGUAGCAAUACCUAGCGGCGGACGGGUUAGUAACGCGUGGGAACGUGCCCAAAGGUACGGAAUAGCCUCGGGAAACUGAGAGUAAUACCGUAUGUGCCCUUCGGGGAAAGAUUUAUCGCCUUUGGAUCGGCCCGCGUUGGAUUAGGUAGUUGGUGGGGUAAUGGCCUACCAAGCCGACGAUCCAUAGCUGGUUUGAGAGGAUGAUCAGCCACGUCGGGACUGAGACACGGCCCGGACUCCUACGGGAGGCAGCAGUCGGGAAUAUUGGACAAUGGGGGAAACCCUGAUCCAGCAAUACCGCGUGUGUGAAGAAGGCCUGCGGGUUGUAAAGCACUUUCAGUUGGGAAGAUAAUGACGUUACCAACAGAAGAAGCACCGGCUAACUCCGUG